rnacentral:lncRNA from 1 species
UUCAUUUCUUUCCACUUCUCCGUAUAUGUAUCUGUGAAAAAUAUAAAGUUAAUAUGUAAACAGAAUAUCUGCAUUAGUUAGGUUCCAAGCGCACCAAAUUAGGUAAUUUGGUGGAGAAUUUAGUAAAGGUAUUACUUACAAAAUUGUGGACAGGGGUUAAGAGGCAUCAUGCAGGAUCCUAAGGCAAGCAAAAGCCAGAAAUGAUUACCACCUGGGGCCUGAGACUGUGAAGGGAAGCUACGUGGAGAGGAAGCUUUGAUUUGGGCAGAGGAAUGCAAUCAAUCCCUGUAAGCUGGUGAGAGAGAGCUGAGGGAGUAAGUGCUCUCUAAUGUCACCAUGUCCUUGACUUUGGGAGUCCUGCUAACAAUGUCCCCAUUGUCCAGCAACUAGAAGAUGGAGGGUUGGUCCCUUCAGGUCCCAUCAAGGUCCCAGUGCAUACACAGCACAAGACUAUUUCCACAUGUUGAAAGUGAUGGCAACACGAGCCCAACAAGUUUCAACUUGAGAUCCAGAGAGAAGAGCGAGUCUUUCCUUAUAGCACCAAUAGAAAAACCGAAAUGGACUCUAACUGGCCCACCCUCAGUCACCUGCUUUGGAUAUGAGUGGGGCGCAGGAAGAAGGAGCAGAUAUUAUGAUUGACAUCCCACCAGACCUACAAGAAAUGGUGAAGGAUUUCCCCCAGAAACCAGAAAAGGGGCUAUGAAACAUGCUGAGCAGAGAAAAAUAGUAACUAUCACAGUCCAUUCUGCUUGCUGAUUAGCAAAAGGAUAUUGGAGAUAGAAAAAUAGAAUCUAUUUCUAAUAUACAACUAGACACAUGAUAUAUUAAUUAUAUACUUCUAUCUUAUCAAAGAGCCGACAUACAAAAUCAGGACACUUUCCCUCCUCUCUUUUGAAUUAAAAAGUUAGAACAAUAGCCCAAGAUAUAGUCUCUCUGUCAAAUACCUCUUGUUAUUUAUAGGUAUCCCAUGACAAAUAUCAAAUUUAUAGUUAAUAUGGUUACUUAUGCAAAAACUAAUCAUAUGAAAGCCUCUCACCUUAAAAAAAAAAAAAGUAAAGCUAAGUAUUGGGUUUAGGAAAGUUCUAUGAAAUUGUCUGGUUCAUAUUUUUCAUUUUGCAGAUAAUGGAACUGAAGGCCAAAGAAGUGAAGCUGCCUGGUUCAAUUAUGCAGCUUUUUAUUAAAUGAAUCCUGGGUUAAAAUUCAAGUUUCCUUUCAGGUAGGGAAGUAUUUUCCCCCUUGUACAUCAUUGCUCAAGUUUUUUAGAUGUUCCUCACGUUGUAAAAGAUAUAGAAGCAAACAGACAAUUGUCAACUGAAAAGAGAAUUUAUUGGAUCUGUCAAUCAUUCAAAAAAAUUUUAAAUUUUUAUGCAACAAGUUUUAACAGAUAUUCUCCCCUAACCAUAUUUUUGAAUAUACAAUCCUGUCAUAUGUGGAAAAAAAUGGUGACUUGUAUGAACCAAGGUUCAAACUGUGUGUUAAAUGCUUGUAAAAAUAAUUACCACAUGACAUUAAAGUGACAUACAUGCAUUGUGAGGAA